rnacentral:rRNA from 1 species
AGUGAACGCUGGCGGUAGGCCUAACACAUGCAAGUCGAACGGCAGCACAGUAAGAGCUUGCUCUUACGGGUGGCGAGUGGCGGACGGGUGAGGAAUACAUCGGAAUCUACUUUUUCGUGGGGGAUAACGUAGGGAAACUUACGCUAAUACCGCAUACGACCUACGGGUGAAAGCAGGGGAUCUUCGGACCUUGCGCGAGUGAAUGAGCCGAUGUCGGAUUAGCUAGUUGGCGGGGUAAAGGCCCACCAAGGCGACGAUCCGUAGCUGGUCUGAGAGGAUGAUCAGCCACACUGGAACUGAGACACGGUCCAGACUCCUACGGGAGGAAGCAGUGGGGAAUAUUGGACAAUGGGCGCAAGCCUGAUCCAGCCAUACCGCGUGGGUGAAGAAGGCCUUCGGGUUGUAAAGCCCUUUUGUUGGGAAAGAAAAGCAGCAGGUUAAUACCCCGCUGUUCUGACGGUACCCAAAGAAUAAGCACCGGCUAACUUCGUG